CACCAGCGCCUGCUGUCCUGGCCUUGAUUUGCAGCUUCCUGCCACCCAUGGUGCGGAGGAGAGAGGCCGAGCAUGUGGCCUGUGGGAGAUGGUGGGAUAAAGCCGCAGGAGGAGGGGAGAAGCAGGAGCCAGCAGGCUUCCACGAGGAUGAAGGAAUGAAUGAAUGCAUGAAGAAAUCUUUCCUUCUGUGUGGAUCCAAUCCCGGAAAUGAAUAUUUUGCUGCAUAAGAAAUGAAAAGAGACAGACACGAGGAACAUUCUGUGGGAAAGAUUUUACCAGAGCUGGGAUGGCUUCAUAGGUAAGAGGUAUGGAACAGGAUAAUUUCCCUUUGGGUCAUUCAACUUGUAUUCCGUGCCAUACAGAUCAGAGUAACAA
rnacentral:lncRNA from 1 species